rnacentral:rRNA from 3 species
UACGCUCUAUAACCCUUUGUGAACAUACCUAUAACUGUUGCUUCGGCGGGUAGGGUCUCCGUGACCCUCCCGGCCUCCCGCCCCCGGGCGGGUCGGCGCCCGCCGGAGGAUAACCAAACUCUGAUUUAACGACGUUUCUUCUGAGUGGUACAAGCAAAUAAUCAAAACUUUUAACAACGGAUCUCUUGGUUCUGGCAUCGAUGAAGAACGCAGCGAAAUGCGAUAAGUAAUGUGAAUUGCAGAAUUCAGUGAAUCAUCGAAUCUUUGAACGCACAUUGCGCCCGCCAGCAUUCUGGCGGGCAUGCCUGUUCGAGCGUCAUUUCAACCCUCAAGCUCUGCUUGGUGUUGGGGCCCUACAGCUGAUGUAGGCCCUCAAAGGUAGUGGCGGACCCUCCCGGAGCCUCCUUUGCGUAGUAACUUUACGUCUCGCACUGGGAUCCGGAGGGACUCUUGCCGUAAAACCCCCAAUUUUCCAAAGGUUGACCUCG